GCAGCCAACAAAUACAUUCAGGUGUGUUUGACUUAACACCGAGAUGCGCAGACAGCACGUGGUAUGACAUCAAAGUACCGCGAGAGUUUUGGGAAAGCCCCGGAAAAGGUUUGAACUCGCGGUACUUGAUGUCACGAUCGGUUUGCGCGUAGAUCAGCAUGAAGUCGAACACAUCUGAAAGAUGUGUGGGCUGCCUGCACUCAACGUUGCGUUCAUUCAGUAGAGUGUAACCUCAAUCGGUUUUUGCAGCUUCUGGGUGUCGUGUCGAACGAUCACAGAACGAUUUUUUGUUCUUUUCCAACUCGAUUUUUAACUCCUUAAACUAGUAGGAUGUUCCAACGGGUGAAGCAACAGUGCUUCAGUGACGGAGUUUCAGUGUCAAGUUUUCAUGCCAUGACCACUGGGGCGGAAACCAUGACGUUGCCUUGGACUUCAAACUAAACCAUCUCAUUCUGGCUUUUUUCUAACCUCGAAAUCUCAGAAGGACAGGUCUAAUGGACGCAGCCUCCAUAGGAUGCAACCUUGCAUUUGAGAAACACCCCUAGAACGGUCAACUUACCCCAUACUCUAACCUGAAUGCAGGGAUCAUAAAACUUUAUCUUUUACCUUAAUUGUUAGAUGGGUGUUGAUACCAAACUUUUUUUUCUCGUCUACCCAGGAGAAAGUCAUGGGUUCUGCUGCUGAGGUUGUCAUAAAGCAUGCUUUUUUCCAUUUGUUGCAUUUGGCAAUAUUAUCAAAAGAUUCUGAAAGAAAUAAGAUAAUUUUCAAAGCAUUAACAUGAAUAUGAAAGUCAUUAAUGACCAUCUUUUAUUAUUGUUUAUUUACAGUGUCUUUUAUUCUGCUUACCUGACUCAUGCAGAAUUCUGGCUUGAUGUUUGGUCCACCUGUUAGCUGGCUCUGGUGCUUGGUAGUCUUCUCAAACCUCUGAAUCAAGACCACCAUGAGAGGCCUUCUGAAGACCAUCAUUACGCUGCAGAUCCAGUGGUCUUUACUAUGAGAUAGAACUGAACUGGAGUCUGUGAACUAAUGCUGUGUUCGAGACAACUUGGAUGUUUGAUAUUAUUGACCUCAAACCCAUAAGAAGUCUGGAACAGUAAACAAAGUUGAGUAUCCGACCUCUCAACUUGGGACAGAUCCAUCAACACCGACCUCAACGAGAUGCGUCAUUUGACAUUGCAGACAAGAUCCUUUCUCUUUUUUUAUGCAGCUCUUAAGGAUGAAGCACCCUGAUCUACUAAGAUGCACAGAUUCAACUCUGGCCCAGCAUCAUCCCCACACCUCAUCUGCCAUCAGUUUAAUUUAAUGUCUGUCAAUUGCAAAUGCUAUUUCAGUUAUAUUACAACUUAAUAUUAACUUUAAUUUAGACUAGUAUUGUGUAAAGCUGGGGUUUCCAAACUUUUCAUUUUAAAACCUAUUAGACAAGUAUAAUCUAUUCUAGACCCACUAAAAUAUUUUUAAAUAUACAUUUUUUUAAUGGGGUAAAACACAUUUGUUCUCUUUCAGUGGAGUCAUUUUAUUUUCAUAAUAUUUCAUAAUGUGAAGAAGUGGUUCUUAACGUUAUUCCUCGAGGCCCACUGCUCUGCACAUUUUGUAUGUCUCUUUUAUCUGACAGACUAAGUUCAGUUCAUGGAG